rnacentral:tRNA from 1 species
UGAAAUAUAACUCAAAGGUAGAGUGUUUGCCUGGCAUGCACAAGUUCUGGGAUUAAUCCCCAGUACUGCUG